GCAGUGUUCCCGCCUGCCCUAAAUAGAAGGGCGCCCCGCCCUUGGUGCCCUUACCCCCGCCCUUCUGCCCUCCAAAGCCAAAGAAUGCCCCCCUCUGCCUUUUCAAAAGAUACAUUUUACAAAUUUCAUGCCUUCUGGCGUUUCCGGUAAAAUUGUUACCUGAGUGAUUGUGUAACACUAAUUAACUGACAAUAGGAUUAAGUUAAAUACCUAAUGCCUUUGGCAGUUUUAUCACCUCUGCUAAUGAUUGUUCACUGCUAAUUAGUGGAUUUAAGAUAAUUGAACAAAUACUAGAUAUUUAAUACAGAAUGAAAAUGCUGACAUGUUAGCCAUUUG
rnacentral:lncRNA from 1 species